GGGGAUUUAGCUCAAUGGUAGAGCACUUGCCUAGCAAGCACAAGGCCCUGGAUUCAGUCCCCA
rnacentral:tRNA from 1 species